UACGUAGGGUGCGAGCGUUGUCCGGAAUUAUUGGGCGUAAAGGGCUCGUAGGCGGUUUGUCGCGUCGGGAGUGAAAAUCCAGGGCUUAACUCUGGACUGGCUUCCGAUACGGGCAGACUAGAGGUAUGCAGGGGAGAACGGAAUUCCUGGUGUAGCGGUGAAAUGCGCAGAUAUCAGGAGGAACACCGGUGGCGAAGGCGGGUCUCUGGGCAUUACCUGACGCUGAGGAGCGAAAGUGUGGGGAGCGAACAGG
rnacentral:rRNA from 1 species